UUUCAGGCAGAGACAAAUCUAUGUCGUCAGUUUGCUGCGUAUGUGUUAAAGUAUGAAUUGAUGGCUCAGGAAAGUCUUAUAGUACCUACGGAUCAAAAUUGUUCAGAGACUGGGAGUGAUAUGCAGAGUGGUGUUUAAUACUGUAUACAGCUGAUUCAAUUAAGGUUGUUCUUCCAAAACCACAAACCUUAAACUCUGAGCG